CCGCCCGCCCAGCGGGAGGUGCUCAGGGUCCAGCCCUGCAGCUUCCAGCAGCUCCACAGGGAGCAGCAGCCCCCAGCCUUCAACCCACGAGGCAGGAAAAGAGUUGUAGCCUUGUUUUUCCAAAACGUAAUGAAAAGUGACGUUUGAAGUAUUUUUCCACAAGGCUCUGUCAUUCUCAGCCAGAAAUUGUCAAGCCUAUUAGGAAGAGGAACCUAGAAGGCCAAAAAAUUCUCUGCCUGUUUUUUUUCCUGCAUGCUUCCUGUGAUGUUUGAUCCAAGGCAGCAAUAGAGAUCUGUGUCCCAGAGCCACAUUGUGGAGCCUGACCAAUAUGUUUGGAUUCUUGCAGCCCCCCCAGGCACUUUAGCGUCCAGCACUCCAGCUGGCAGUGCUGGUUGUGCAGCAUUGACAGUGUCCAGCUCCACACAGAACACACCUGGGGAAGAGCAGUCACCAGUGGAUCUUGGCUUUGCCAUUGAGCAAAUGAUCCGGGAGAUCCCUGCCUGAAAGGUCUCCCUCUGCACAGGGCAAUAUUAAUGUUGUGCCUGAGUCUUCUGGAGGCGAGCCUGUGAACCAGGCUGCAGCAGAGGAAGCCUCAUCUGGCACUGAGAAGAACAGUUUGCCAGAGCCUGAGGAGCUUGAUCCUGUGUGAUCGACCUCUGCAGGAGGGCUGCCCUGUGUGGCAGGAAGAGACAGAGGGAGAGGCUGUGACCAUCGGGCAGGUAGAAUUCCUCUGUCUCUAGUUAUAUUUAUAGAUGCGCAUAGUUAUGUUUAUUUAUCUAGGUAGUUGUAUUUAUAGAUUUAUGUAAUUAUAUUUAUCUAUAUAGGUAGAGAUCUGUACAGUUAAUUUUUUUUUUGUUUUAGAUGUAUAUCGUUAUAGCUUUAGAUGUGUUGGUGUAGUUAUAGAUGUGCACAGUUGCACUUAUACCUGUGUAUAGUUACAUUUAUAUAUAUACAUUUGUAAAUGCAUAUUUAUAUUUGUAUAUGGGGGUUUAGCUAAAUAGAUUGAUAUCUGUAGACGCCUCUUUUUAACCUCUUGCCCUGCUCUGCUUCCUCCCUCACUCGUGCUUUUCCCCCUGUGCCCCCUCUGUCCCCUCUCCCUGGGCUGGGUCCGAGCUGGCGGCCGGGCCGGGCGCAGCAGCAGCUCCAGCCCCGGGUGUCCCUGGAGCGCUGGGAGCUGCCGGUGGCCCCAGGCACUGUCCCCUGAGGAGCUGCUGAAGGACGGUGAGACUGAGGGGGCUGAGGGGGCGGUGGCGCUGAAGGGACGCUGACCCUGAGCUGCUGCUGGGGCUGAGGGCUGUGGGGCAGCCCAGGGCCAUGGUGGCACUGAGGUGACAGGCAAGUGGCACAGGCUGAGGGGCUGGCGGGUCUAAGGGGAUGGGAUGGGUCAGAAGGGACUGAGGGAGGUGAGAGGACUGUGAGGGGCUGAAGAAGCUGAAGGGGGCUGGGGGUUUGGCGAGAGCAUGGGUGGGGCUGAGGGGAUGGAGGGGCCAGCAGGGAGCACAGAGGGCUCUGGGACUGCAGCUCUGACAGGCCUUGGAACCAAUUCCAGAGCCUCCACUUUUGCCACAGCUGCAAAGAAAACCUUGAGAACAGCCGGAGACUGCCAGGAGCCAGCAGGGAGAAGCUGAGUGCCAGCAGCAGGAGCAGUGAGCAGGGCCCUGCUGCUGCCAGCCUGGAGAGAGCCCGGAUGUCCCAUCUGCUGUCCCUGUCCAGGAGAUGUGCCGAACUUCAUCUGCAGGAUCAGAAGAACCAGUGUCCUUUGGCCUCCCCCAGUUCCCACUGAGGACGAGAGCACCUGCAGAGCAGAGGAGACCAGCUGCAGCUCCAGGCCCAGGUCUUGCUGGUCACAGCUGAGCCUGUGUGAAAAGGUUUCUUAAGUUAUAGGUUAAAAUUCAACACAUAAUUCUACAAGCUAAAAUUUAAAUGCUGAAUUCAUAUUGCUAACUCAAGGGAGCUCCAAAAAUCUCUAUUUCAAAAGCAACAAACCUUUGAAAGGUUAAACCUCAACAGAGCUGUGAUCCUCCAUCAAUACCUCCUUCUUCCACUUGCUUAAAAUCUCUUUGUUCUGGGCACUCACUAAGGCCUUUUUCCUGGAAGCUCUCUGGCUGUCUUGAAUGCUUAUGGAGUAACAGGUAAUCCCUGAUCUAUUUUCAACUCUCUGCCCAGAGACUUCUGGAAGGGAGGUAGGACUGGUACUGGGGACCUGGCAGCUUGUCCAGGAAUCAAAAUUAUUGAAAUAAUGGUAAUGUGGACAAGGCAUGCAAGUCCAGGUGGUGAGCUCAAAUAUGCAAGUACUUGCAGUUUCCCCUCAGCACUUGACAGCUAAGGGGUAUGGUCUCUUCUUAUUUCUGUCUCUUAAUCCUCAAUCCUUGCCACACUCCUUCAACAUCUUUUGCAUUGUCAUCUUCCCUGUUUUCUCCCUCCCUUCUUCUUUCUGUGACUUUCUGUACACGACAGACUAUCUGUCACACUCUGUCAGCUUGCUCAGUCACCCGAGCAGUGAUAAUGAUGGUGUAGAAAUUGUAGGUGCACAGGAGGCAAAGGUGUCAUGCUUCUGUGUGCCCUCUGCAGGCAAAGCUGCUUCCCGAAGCUUCAGUCAAACUUGGAACAAAGGCUUGUCCCCACUGCAGGGACAAGAGAGGUAGGAAACUGGGCUCAUAAAACAUGCUUCUUCUGCUUCAACAAAAAACCGUGACUUCCCUUCACAGAGAAGGAUGUAAACUUUUUCUUGAAGGGAAUAAACAAAUCUCUUUAUGUCCUGAUCUUUUACCAGUCUGAAAUUAUUUAAAAAUGUCGUAAAUUUUGUUUGUUUGUUUGUUUCUUUGUGGUGUUUUUUUUUGUUUGUUUUGGGGGUUUUUUGGGUUUGUUUUUUUUUUUUUUUGUUUGUUUGUUUGUUUUGUUUUGUCUUGUUUUGGUUUUUUUGGGGGUUUUUUUGGUUGUUUUUGGUUUUUUGGGUUUUUUUUUGUUGUUGUUGUUGUUCUGGGGUUGGGUCUGCAUUUCAAGCCUGUUCUCCCAGCAGUCAGGGACCUGCACAGCUGCUGUGGGUGGGGCAGGUGCUCAGGUAAUUACCAACAGGUAAUUACUAACAGCCAGGUGAGAAGUUGGCUUGUGCCUGGUUGAGGGCUUGAGGACUGUGCUGAGAGAAGGGCUAGGGAGUGGAGUGGAAAAUACAAUUUACACAAGCAGAACCUGCUGUCCCCUGCGCUCGGAACAGGCGUGGAGGGUCCCCAAGGCAUCCUCAGAAUGGGCUUUGCCCUCACCUUGGCUUGUGCUGCUGCAGAUUUUGGAGACAAUUGUGCAUAAGAACGGGCACUAGAACCAGACUUGGGGCUGGCAUGCUCUGCAUUUCCAGAAUGGCUCAUGGACAGGGUAAGGUGGUAUCAGUGCACUCUGGGUGAAGCUGUGAUUCUAUGGAUACUUCAGUAAGAGAGGUUUUUUCAGGGUGAUUAAACUUUCGUCCUUGCUGUGCUUUCUAUGACAUUUGCAUCUCUAUUUUGUAAAACUUCAGAAAUCUGAAUCCUCUUUGGCCCUGUGAAAUGUUAAAAACGUCAGCAAAAGCCAUCAUAGUUUGCAUGCGAAAAUACAUAAUUUUUUACA